rnacentral:rRNA from 1 species
AUGUCCAGAAGUCUGAUGUCUGAAUUUGUUGAGAAAUUGAAUGACUCUUCACAUUUCCUUUCGGCCUGCUCAACAAGUCUUAACGAUGCUUGCCCUGAAAUCUGGUAUACAGAGAGGUGUAAGCAGGUGUCUGCUCCCGUCCAAAGAGAACUUCCAUCAGUUCAAAAUUUGAACUACAUGCUUUUGGUUGGCUGCUCUGUUUUUCCUAGAGAUGAUCUUCAGUACACAGUCGUGUGCAAGUGCAUGGGGCAGUCGUCGGUGAACCAAGUGGGUGGAUCGGAGGUGGCGAUCAGUUCAUCUUCGGGUGUUUCUACAGUUUCUGUUCAUGUGCGCAUCUGA